GCCAGGUGCGGUGGCGUGUGCCUGUAGUCCCAGCUACUUGGGAGGCUGAGGCUGGAGGAUCGCUUGAGCCCAGGAGUUCUGGGCUGCAGUGCGCUACGUCGAUCGGGUGUCCGCACUAAGUUCGGCAUCAAUAUGGUGACCUCCCGGGAGCGGGGGACCACCAGGUUGCCUAAGGAGGGGUGAAACGGCCCAGGUCGGAAAUGGAGCAGGUCAAAACUCCUGUGCUGAUCAGUAGUGGGAUCACACCUGUGAAUAGCCACUGCACUCCAACCUGGGCAACAUAGCAAGACCCCGUCUCU
rnacentral:SRP_RNA from 1 species